CCGCCUCCCAUUAGCUGCGCUCCGGCCGCAACUCCCACGAGGGCGGGGAGGGCGCCCGUUACCUGCGCCGCGGGAGCGGCGGCGGCGGCGGCCUGGCUGGGGAAGUGGGCGGCGCCCCUCCGCCUCUCAUUCGUCCCGCGGCCCGGCAGGAGACGUGAGACGCAGGCGGCCCGGGUCUCCCCGCUCGCCGCGGCCGGGCCAUGCUGUGCCGUGUCCGCCUGACGCUGGUGGCGGCGGCGCUGCUGGCGCUGGGGGCCCCGCGCGGCGGCGGCGCCCGGCUCCUGGAGUGGUACACGGCGUGGGUGAGCACCGCCUACACCGAGCCGCUCAGCAACCGCACGGUGCGGGGCAGCGCCGAGAGCGGCCGCUACGGGGACAGCUCCCCCAAGGAGAGCGCGCAGGGCCUGGUGGGCAUCCCCCGCGGCGCCUCCGCCCGCCGCAUGGAGGGCUGCGCCUCGGACACCGACUACGACGUGCCCCUGCCGCCGGGGAGCCGCGGCCCGCCCGGCGGGGAGCCGCCGCCGCCCUGGAUCGCGCUGGUGGCCCGCGGGGGCUGCACCUUCAAGGACAAAGUCACCAACGCGGCCCGGAAGCGGGCGGUGGCCGUGGUGAUCUACAACGAGCCCCGCUUCGGCAACGCCACCGUCUCCAUGUCUCACCUUGGAACGGGCAAUACAGUGGUAAUUAUGGUUGGAUAUCCAAAAGGGAUAGAAAUUUUGGAACCAGUACGCAGAGGGAUUCCAGUAAAAAUGACUAUUGGUGUUGGCACAAGACAUGUGCAAGAAUAUAUCAGUGGACAGUCAGUUGUGUUUGUAGCCAUCGCUUUUAUCACCAUGAUGAUUAUAUCACUAGCCUGGCUUAUAUUUUACUAUAUACAACGUUUUCUAUAUACUGGGUCACAAUUUGGAAGCCAGGGCCACAGAAAAGAAACCAAGAAAGUGAUCAACCAGCUUCAGUUGCAUACUGUGAAGCAUGGAGACAAGGGUUUAGAUGUUGAUGCAGAAAAUUGUGCUGUGUGCAUUGAAAACUACAAACCGAAAGAUAUUGUCCGAAUUCUGCCAUGCAAGCAUAUCUUUCAUAGGACCUGCAUUGACCCCUGGCUGUUGGACCACAGAACUUGUCCAAUGUGCAAACUAGAUGUCAUCAAAGCUCUGGGAUACUGGGGUGACCCUGAAGAGGCACUUGAAGUUCCAAUACCUGAAUCAAUAAGUGGCAGUGUAUCAGUAGGAAGUUUGAGUAUUGCUUUACAAGAAGAUGAUAGAAACGAAGUAAGCGAUUUGUCAGCCUCCUCAACUAAUGAAUCUGUGCUACAGUGUAACAGUUUAAAAGAGGAUGCAGGUGAAACCACAGCAUUGCUUGACCUGGAUGGCAGUGAUAGUCGGCAUGGAGAACAUCUGUCUAACGGAAAUUCCCACUGAAAACUUCAUGGAAGACUCUCUGAUUAGACUGCUUAACGAACUUCUUAUUUAAUUAGUAUGAACUUUUGCCUAGUUGAUGGGAAAAAUAACAAUGUAAUUUAUUUUACCUUGAGAACUUUUCUAGUUCAUAUUCCAAAAGGGCUAAUAACUAAGAAUUUUGUAUAAAGAGGAUUUUUUAAAACUAGUCUGUCUGAUCCUAUGAGAGAUGCAAUACCUCUGUUGAUACAAGAAUUAUUACAAUGUCAGUGUGUUCCAGAGGGCUGUAACAAAGGUGUAGACUAGGAUGAGAGAACAGAAUAUAAAAAGUUUAAUGGAUAAAUGUUGGUUACACUGUGUUUACGUUUAGCAUGUACAUAAAGCUGAAAGCAUUUACAACACUACAUUUUAUUAAACCGUACUUGAAAAAAAAAUUACAUUUUGCUGUAACUGGAGCUGGAUGUUUAAGAAGCAUGCAAAAUAGAUUUGUGAAAAUAUCAAAUAAUUUCUUUGAUAUUACAUGGCAUCUUCCACUCCUCCCACCACUGGUUGAAAAAUAAUUUAUCGCAACUUUCUUAAUAUUGUUGGUUCUUAGUGUUUUCCAACUCAGAGCUGAGUACUUAAAUUUUUCCAGCUUGUUAACUUCUAGCAGUAACAGUUGACUUCAGUGUCUUUGCUGGACAGUCUUAACAUGUUGAGCGUGUUGACUUAUCUAGCAUUCAUGUCAGUUACCUCCCUCUCAAUCUUUAACUCAGUAAAACAGAGUAGAAAAGGGCUAUUAUGGCUAGGGAAUUUAUUUCUGUUUUAGACUUCCCUGAUUUCCCUCUUACACUCUUGUCCCCAUUUCCAUGUACACAAGUUGGGAUCCCUCCUUAAGAUCUUUUUAUGAAGCUAGGGGUCUUUGCUUUUGUCCCAUAAACUAGGAAAUUCCUUUUGGCUAUUUUCCAUUAUGACUUUGGGGUUGUCAUUAGUUUUUUCCUUUGCUAGAUUAGCAGUAUUGUGCCUUAUAGUUGUGGGUGUUUUGUUUUUUUAAAAGCACUUAUUACUAAACCCAAAACAUCAAAGAUGAAAUAUCAACCCCUUCUUUUUGACAUCCUGUUCGGAUAGUUACAUACAAUAGAUAGUAUAAGGAAAUGCUAAAUUGUUUUGUAAAGAACGACGUAUGUUUACAAUACUGUGUACAUUUUAAUAGUGUUGAAUUCUUAGGCUUUUAGUAUUGUCAUGUUACAAAUGAAUGUAUAUGGUACAUUCCUCAGACUUUUUGUAAAGUUGCUUAAAGCAGUGUCUUUUGUCAGGCAUUUGUUCAAGUGCACUUUGUUUCUAAAACAAUGUGUAUUUGGAAUGUUUUUAAGAAAAUGAAAAUAUGCAAUCCUUUUCUAAUUUGUAUUGUGCUUCAAUUGGAGCAGUAAUUUUAUUUUAGAAUGAAUGUUCCAGAAAUGAAGGUUUUCAACUGAGGGAAAAAAAUGAGCAUUUACUUUACCAAACAGUUCAUAAUCAAAUAUUUGUUUUUCCAAAACGUUCUCAGUAGUGAUAACUUAAGAUCUGCCUCCUCCUCCCCCCUGCCCAGUAGGAUUGCCCCCUGGUUAGAUUUCAUGGAAUAAUUGUCAGGGCAUAGUUCUCUCAUUUCACCAGCAGGUGCAACUUUUGUGAUGCCUCUAUCUGAUGAGAAGCACAUGGGGAAGUGGAAUAUUUAAUAACUGACAUCCCCAUCUCCAAACAGUUUUGAUGCAUAGGAACCAGUAUGCCUCCAAAGCAAGCUCAUCUUUACUUCCAGGACUGCCUUUUUAAUUUACUCUUUAAUAUAGCAACUGAGUCUUCUCCCUCUUCCUUAACACAAAGUUGAACAUUCUUAGUGGAUAAAUGUCAAGAGGGUCACAACUCCAGUUCAUCAGUCAGGAGCCUGUAGGAAGUUAUCAGACACAUUGGGAGUCUCCAGAUGAUGCAGAUACCUGCAAGACAUGGAAUCCACAUUGAAGGGAGCAUUGUGGUGACAUGGUGUGAAGAUUCCAGAACUGGAAAUAUAAAAGAUGCACAUACAUAAAGUUAGUGUUUUCAUGUAUUCAAACUGGGUACUGAACUCUGUUCUUGGAUAACUUGCCAUGUGGCAAAAUUUUGACCUGAGAUUGUUAAAGUAGGAUAUCUUUGAUUGUUUGCAUGUAUCUGUGUAAGAGAAUUCAUUACCAGGGAACUUAACAAGUCCACCUAUACUCUAAUUGGACAGGGAUCUAAUUUAGUAGGUAUCACUUAUACUGUAUUCCAUCUACAACAUGGUAUUGCUGCAUUUUUAAUUAAAGAAUAUAUUUCAGUCUGAAAAACAGGAUGAGAAAGUGUAACUCCUACCGAAUUAAUGAAAUACAGUAAGUAGUUGAGAGCUUUAGUUUUUUUCUUAAAGCCCUAAGUCAAACUUAAUUCAGUUAAGUUUGAUGUUUAUAGUGAAAGACUAUGUCUGCAAGUAAUUGCUAGUUGAACUUGCUCACUGAGUUACCAUUAAUAUUUGAAGGUUUCUUGUUCUUUCAGUCACCAGGUGGAAUCAUCUGAUAUUUAAAAUGAACGCAUUAAAAACUUAACAGGAAAAUGUGUUAGUUUUGAGUCCACUGGUGGGACUUUGCCUUUGAUUGGCAACUACAGGGACUGCUUUGGUCUAAUGCUUAGGAAAACAUUCAAUCCACAGAAAUAACUUGUUCAAACUUGAUUGAUAUUGAGCAAAACCAGAAUGAGUAAACUACUACUCAAACUGUUUGACUUUGAUAAUGGCAAGCCUAGUGCUAACUUUUUAAUAAACUUGGUUGCACUGAUUGGAUACAGUACAUCAAACUUUUUUCAUUGUAUACUUUAAACUAUUUAAGAAAAUGUUGAAUUAAAGAAAUCAAUGUUAUGUAUUGUGUAUUUAAAAAGUUAUUAGUAAAAAAACCUAAAAUCCUGUAAGUUGUAUGGGCUUAUUAAAUGGAAUGGUAUUAAAAAACUUGA